rnacentral:rRNA from 1 species
GACAGAGGGUGCAAACGUUGCUCGGAAUUACUGGGCGUAAAGCGCGUGUAGGCGGGCUAGUAAGUCGGACGUGAAAUCCCUGGGCUCAACCCAGGAACUGCAUCCGAAACUAUUAGCCUUGAGUGGUGGAGAGGGAAGCAGAAUUCCUGGUGUAGAGGUGAAAUUCGUAGAUAUCGGGAGGAACACCAGUGGCGAAGGCGGCUCUCUGGGCAGAUACUGACGCUGAGACGCGAAAGCGUGGGUAGCAAACAGG